UCCACUUCAGCUUGAUCUAAAGGAAGUCAUUUACUUUCAUCAUGCAAGAUCUGCCUUAUUUUUACCUCAGAGAGUUAGCUUGUCAGUUUAGAGAAAGAUGAGAGAGUGAGAGGUGGAACGAAGAGUUUCACCUCCCGGGUCUCUCUUCAGCAGAAUUGCCUUGAUAAUAACAAAUUAAACUUGAACAGCUCCAAUUAGACACAAAUGAGGAGCCCCAUUGCCAUGACGCACUCCCAUCAAAGCGCUGAUCUAAAAGUGACACUUCUAAUUUUCGGCUUCCUCCAUCACUGGCGGAAGCGACAGGCGACCGUCAAGAUUAGCUAAGCCGUACUUGUCGGAAACUUAAAAAGCGAGGUAGUCUGCAAGUCAAACACUGGAGGUCACAAAGCCACAGACAUGCUGUGGCUACAGAACAGCUCACUGUCUGAGCUCUGACACAAGGGGAGAAAAGCAGUCUCAUUUCGCAUCUGACGACUGCCUCCGGCAUACCAUUUGAACCUUUUUAAGUUACAACCGACUAAUAACUUUAUUCACAUUUAAUUUAAUCUCCCAAAAUAGAUUAUAUCCACAUGUACUUCAAUUUGCAUGCACCUGCUUGAGCCUGCGUUCUAUGUAGCCAACACCCAGAGUCAGAUGUUUUCUUCCAGGGUCAUAUCAUCUGCCAGCACCUCAGCCUUAUCCAAGCCUUCCCUACAAAACAAACUCUGCUAGUGAGUCACAGUUCAAUCUUCAAGCGCCGCGAGAAAGAGACGCCACACUGGAUCUGUUCCUUAUCUCCUGCCUUCCCAUCAGGCCUUGCAGUAACCUCUCAGAGGGACAUUUCUGAUCACUAUCGCCCCGGCGAGUGUUCCCACAGGGAGGCUGCCUCUUAUGAGGUCCUGUUCAUGUGAUGCUAUCAGUGGUCUCUGAUCCAACAGUUAUAUGGCCUCCUCCACAUGGCUAAUAGGCUGUAGACUGCAGUGGCUAUCUUAAUGAAGAAAUGUGAAGAUAAUAAAGACAGCCAGGCAUUGAGGACACUUGCAAGUUCCUGAAAUGUGCAAAAUCAACACUGUUCAGCAACUGUAUUUGUUGGCAGGGGAGACUCGGGGCUUGUUUGCAUUGGAAUGCCUCAUCGAGGAAGGCUGCAAACUCUCUUUUGGAAUAUUUCAGAGUAUUUGGAAUAUUUCAGAGUAUUUGGAAUAUUUCAGAGGCCUCCUGCUGGGUUUCCCAAUGCCAAAACAUGUGACACAGAUAAUGUGAGCAGGGGUCAUGCGAUGGGGAGAGUUUGUUGAUGGUCUCGGAGUGCUGGGAACACUGGACCACUGGCCCAAGACUGUAGACUCAGGAAACAGAAACUCUGACCUCGGAUUUCUUCUCAAUAUGCAAUGCCAGGAGCUAGACAAUGAUAUAUGAAACCUUCAAAGUGAGUGAAUGCCAUCCAUUUUAGAAAAAUACAAAACAAUAGGAAUGUGUUUCACUGUAUACAGUGUAUACAGUGUGGAUCUACAGUAGGUAUGGAGACAGGGUGUGGGGUAUUUGCCUUUCUGUAUACAGUGUGGGUCUACAAUAGGUAUGGAGACAGGGUGUGGGGUAUUUGCCUUUCUGUAUACAGUGUGGGUCUACAAUAGGUAUGGAGAAUGCCUUUUUGUAUACAGUGUGGGUCUACAAUAGGUAUGGAGACAGGGUGUGGGGUAUUUGCCUCUGUAUACAGUGUGGGUCUACAAUAGGUAUGGAGACAGGGUGUGGGGUAUUUGUCUCUCUGUAUACAGUGUGGGUCUACAGUAGGUAUGGAGACAGGGUGUGGGGUAUUUGUCUCUCUGUAUACAGUGUGGGUCUACAGUAGGUAUGGAGACAGGGUGUGGGGUAUUUGUCUCUCUGUAUACAGUGUGGGUCUACAAUAGGUAUGGAGACAGGGUGUGGGGUAUUUGUCUCUCUGUAUACAGUGUGGGUCUACAAUAGGUAUGGAGACAGGGUGUGGGGUAUUUGCCUCUCUGUAUACAGUGUGGGUCUACGGUAGGUAUGGAGACAGGGUGUGGGGUAUUUGUCUCUCUGUAAACAGUGUGGGUCUACGGUAGGUAUGGAGACAGGGUGUGGGGUAUUUGUCUCUCUGUAUACAGUGUGGGUCUACAGUAGGUAUGGAGACAGGGUGUGGGGUAUUUGCCUCUCUGUAUACAGUGUGGGUCUACAAUAGGUAUGGAGACAGGGUGUGGGGUAUUUGUCUCUCUGUAUACAGUGUGGGUCUACAAUAGGUAUGGAGACAGGGUGUGGGGUAUUUGUCUCUCUGUAAACAGUGUGGGUCUACGGUAGGUAUGGAGACAGGGUGUGGGGUAUUUGUCUCUCUGUAUACAGUGUGGGUCUACAGUAGGUAUGGAGACAGGGUGUGGGGUAUUUGCCUCUCUGUAUACAGUGUGGGUCUACAAUAGGUAUGGAGACAGGGUGUGGGGUAUUUGCCUCUGUAUACAGUGUGGGUCUACGGUAGGUAUGGAGACAGGGUGUGGGGUAUUUGUCUCUCUGUAAACAGUGUGGGUCUACGGUAGGUAUGGAGACAGGGUGUGGGGUAUUUGUCUCUCUGUAUACAGUGUGGGUCUACAGUAGGUAUGGAGACAGGGUGUGGGGUAUUUGCCUCUCUGUAUACAGUGUGGGUCUACAAUAGGUAUGGAGACAGGGUGUGGGGUAUUUGUCUCUCUGUAUACAGUGUGGGUCUACAAUAGGUAUGGAGACAGGGUGUGGGGUAUUUGUCUCUCUGUAUACAGUGUGGGUCUACAAUAGGUAUGGAGACAGGGUGUGGGGUAUUUGCCUCUGUAUACAGUGUGGGUCUACAAUAGGUAUGGAGACAGGGUGUGGGGUAUUUGCCUCUGUAUACAGUGUGGGUCUACAAUAGGUAUGGAGACAGGGUGUGGGGUAUUUGCCUCUGUAUACAGUGUGGGUCUACAAUAGGUAUGGAGACAGGGUGUGGGGUAUUUGCCUCUGUAUACAGUGUGGGUCUACAAUAGGUAUGGAGACAGGGUGUGGGGUAUUUGCCUCUGUAUACAGUGUGGGUCUACAAUAGGUAUGGAGACAGGGUGUGGGGUAUUUGCCUCUGUAUACAGUGUGGGUCUACAAUAGGUAUGGAGACAGGGUGUGGGGUAUUUGCCUCUAUACAGUGUGGGUCUACGGUAGGUAUGGAGACAGGGUGUGGGGUAUUUGCCUCUGUAUACAGUGUGGGUCUACGGUAGGUAUGGAGACAGGGUGUGGGGUAUUUGUCUCUCUGUAUACAGUGUGGGUCUACAGUAGGUAUGGAGACAGGGUGUGGGGUAUUUGCCUCUGUAUACAGUGUGGGUCUACAAUAGGUAUGGAGACAGGGUGUGGGG